rnacentral:rRNA from 2 species
UUGAUGAAGAGUUUGAUCCUGGCUCAGGAUUAACGCUGGCGGUGUGUCUAAUACAUGCAAGUCGAGCGAGGCUUCGAGCCGAGCGGCGGACGAGCGAGUAACACGUUAGUACCUGCCCCGAACUCAGGGAUAACCCACCGAAAGGUGUGGCUAAUACCGGAUGGUCCCGUAAGGGUAAAGAUUUAUCGGUUCGGGAGGGGCUUGCGGCCUAUCAGCUUGUUGGUGAGGUAAGAGCUCACCAAGGCUACGACGGGUAACUGGUCUGAGAGGAUGAUCAGUCGCGAUGGGACUGAGACACGGCCCAUACUCCUACGGGAGGCAGCAGUAGGGAAUCUUCCACAAUGGGCGAAAGCCUGAUGGAGCAACACCGCGUGGUCGAUGAAGCCCCUUGGGGUGUAAAGACCUUUUCUGAGGGAAGAAUUCUGACGGUACCUUAGGAAUAAGCACCGGCUAACUCCGUGCCAGCAGCCGCGGUAAUACGGAGGGUGCAAGCGUUAUCCGGAAUAAUUGGGCGUAAAGCGUCUGCAGGUGGUUUGUUAAGUCAGAUAUUAAAGACGGCAGCUCAACUGUCGGAGUGUAUCUGAUACUGGCAGGCUAGAGUCUUGGAGAGGUAAGCAGAAUUCUGCAUGUAGGGGUAAAAUCCGUAGAUAUGCAGAGGAAUACCAAAAGCGAAGGCAGCUUACUGGCCAAGUACUGACACUCAUAGACGAAAGCGUGGGGAGCAAACAGGAUUAGAUACCCUGGUAGUCCACGCCGUAAACACUGGACACUCGGUGUUGGGGGUCUCAACCGCCCUCAGUGCCUAAGCUAACGCGAUAAGUGUCCCGCCUGGGGAGUACGAUCGCAAGAUUAAAACUCAAAGGAAUAGACGGGGACCCACACAAGCGGUGGAGCAUCUGGUUUAAUUCGACAAUAAGCGAGGAACCUUACCUGGACUUGACAUCCCGAGAAUUCUUUAGAAAUAGAGAAGUGCCUUCUGGAACUCGGUGACAGGUGCUGCAUGGUUGUCGUCAGCUCGUGCCUUGAGGUGUUCGGUUAAGUCCGUGAACGAGCGCAACCCUUGUCCUGUGUUGUAUUUUUCACAGGAGACUGCCGGCUUCAAGUCGGAGGAAGGUAAGGAUGACGUCAAAUCAGCAUGGCCCUUAUGUCCAGGGCUACACAGGUGCUACAAUGGCAGGUACAACGGGUAGCCAAGCAGUAAUGCGGAGCCAAUCCUUCAAAGCCUGUCUAAGUUCGGAUUGAGGGCUGAAACUCGCCCUCAUGAAGUUGGAAUCGCUAGUAAACGUGCAUCAGCAAUGGCGCGUUGAAUAUGUUCCUGGGUCUUGUACUCACCGCCCGUCAAGUCACGAAAGAUGGGGGCGCCCGAAGUCCCAGACUCGUUCUGGGCCUAAGGUGAAACCAUUGAUUGGGACUAAGUCGUAACAAGGUAUCCGUAGGAGAACCUGCGGAUGGACCACCUCCUUU